GACGUAGGGUGCGAGCGUUUGUCCGGGAUUUAUUUGGGCGUAAAAGAGCUCGUAGGCGGCUCGUCGCGUCAGCUGUGAAAUUCCGUGGCUUAACUGCGGGCUUGCAGCUGAUACGGGCGGGCUAGAGUUCGGUAGGGGAGACUGGAAUUCCUGGUGUAGCGGUGAAAGUGCGCAGAUAUCAGGAGGAACACCGGUGGCGAAGGCGGGUCUCUGGGCCGAUACUGACGCUGAGGAGCGAAAGCGUGGGGAGCGAACAGG
rnacentral:rRNA from 1 species